AGCUUGCUUUAGUUGUCAGCUAAGUGGCGCACGGGUGAGUAAUGUAUAGGUAAUAUGCCUCUUACUAAGGGAUAACAAUUGGAAACGAUUGCUAAUACCUUAUAUGCCUUUAAGACUUAAGUCUGCAAGGGAAAGAUUUAUUGGUAAGAGAUUAGCCUGUAUUGUAUCAGUUAGUUGGUGGGGUAAUGGCCUACCAAGACAAUGACGCAUAACUGGUUUGAGAGGAUGAUCAGUCACACUGGAACUGAGACACGGUCCAGACUCCUACGGGAGGCAGCAGUGGGGAAUAUUGCACAAUGGGGGAAACCCUGAUGCAGCAACGCCGCGUGGAGGAUGACACAUUUCGGUGCGUAAACUCCUUUUAUAUAGGAAGAUAAUGACGGUACUAUAUGAAUAAGCACCGGCUAACUCCGUGCCAGCAGCCGCGGUAAUACGGAGGGUGCAAGCGUUACUCGGAAUCACUGGGCGUAAAGAGCGUGUAGGCGGGUAUAUAAGUCAGAAGUGAAAUCCAAUAGCUCAACUAUUGAACUGCUUUUGAAACUGUAUACCUAGAAUGUGGGAGAGGUAGAUGGAAUUUCUGGUGUAGG
rnacentral:rRNA from 1 species